rnacentral:tRNA from 1 species
GGCCGGUUGCCUGAGUUUGGUAACAGGGGUUCAAUAUUGAUGUAUAACAGUCGCGGGUUCGAGUCCCGCACUGGCCG